rnacentral:rRNA from 1 species
UACGGAGGGUGCAAGCGUUGUCCGGAUUUAUUGGGUUUAAAGGGUGCGUAGGCGGCGCGGUAAGUCGGGUGUGAAAUCUCGGAGCUUAACUCCGAAACUGCAUUCGAUACUGCCGUGCUUGAGGACUGGAGAGGAGACUGGAAUUUACGGUGUAGCGGUGAAAUGCGUAGAUAUCGUAAGGAAGACCAGUGGCGAAGGCGGGUCUCUGGACAGUUCCUGACGCUGAGGCACGAAGGUCAGGGGAGCAAACGGG